rnacentral:rRNA from 1 species
GACGAACGCUGGCGGCGUGCUUAACACAUGCAAGUCGAACGGAAAGGCCCUGCUUUUGUGGGGUGCUCGAGUGGCGAACGGGUGAGUAACAUGUGAGUAACCUGCCCUUGACUUUGGGAUAACUUCAGGAAACUGGGGCUAAUACCGGAUAGGAGCUCCUGCUGCAUGGUGGGGGUUGGAAAGUUUCGGCGGUUGGGGAUGGACUCGCGGCUUAUCAGCUUGUUGGUGGGGCAGUGGCUUACCAAGGCUUUGACGGGUAGCCGGCCUGAGAGGGUGACCGGCCACAUUGGGACUGAGAUACGGCCCAGACUCCUACGGGAGGCAGCAGUGGAGAAUAUUGCACAAUAGGCGGAAGCCUGAUACAGCAACGCCGCGUGCGGGAUGACGGCCUUCGGGUUGUAAACCGCUUUCGCCUGUGACGAAGCGUGAGUGACGGUAAUGGGUAAAGAAGCACCGGCUAACUACGUG